AUACGUAGGGGGCGAGCGUUGUCCGGAAUGAUUGGGCGUAAAGGGCGCGUAGGCGGCGCGGUAAGUCUGGAGUGAAAGUCCUGCUUUCAAGGUGGGAAUUGCUUUGGAUACUGCCGCGCUUGAGUGCAGGAGAGGUAAGCGGAAUUCCCAGUGUAGCGGUGAAAUGCGUAGAGAUUGGGAGGGGCACCAGUGGCGAAGGCGACUUACUGGACUGUAACUGACGCUGAGGCGCGAAAGGGUGGGGAGCAAACAGGAUUAGAUUCCCUGGUAGUCCACACUGUAAACGGUGAAUGCUAGGUGUAGGGGGUAUCGACCCCUUCUGUGCCGCAGUCAACACAAUAAGCAUUCCGCCUGGGGAGUACGGCCGCAAGGUUGAAACUCAAAUGAAUUGGCGGGG
rnacentral:rRNA from 1 species